rnacentral:lncRNA from 1 species
GAUAAAUCAACUUUUGGUAUCUGUACUAGAACACGUUUUACAAUUUGGUACUUAAAGUGAAAAAAGUUAUAAAUUGGUGAUUGUACUCGAAAAAUGUUACAAUAUAGUGCUUGUAUUUUCCAAUUUUGAAAUAAUCGUUAAAAUUGACUAACAGAGUAGAUGAAAAAUUCUGACGUGACUUACCCAUCUGACGUGGAUAAUGAUAAACUAGUUAUUGCCCAAGUACAACACAACUGAGAGUUACGUGGGGCCCAAUAGCUAGCAACAUACUUCCCCAAAAUGGAACUCAUGUGCAACACCAAAGUUGACUUGGCCGCCUCUGUUGCACCUACCAACAUUAUUUGGCAAACUGCCAAAAUCAGUCGAAGCUGCAUGACGCCGAAUCAGAAGCUAUUAGGACAACCCAGAUAAACAAACACCCUUAAUUGAUUAGUUGGAGGAGAUAGAUGCAAUCAGAGCAUGAAAUCAAAAAGGAGAUUAGAUCAUUAGACCAGCCAUAACAAUAAAUUUCAAAAAUUAGAAAUGAACCAAGCCACCGGAAAUAGGUCGGAGAUCACCAAGAGACAACCCCAACUAAAGCCAAAUCAAUCAUACAACAACAAAAAGAAAGUAUGAAUGAUAGAACCUCCAAAUCAGCUGCAACCCAAAAUAAACAUCACGCCCCUAACAAGUUGAAAUAGAACACAGACCAAUCAGACAAACAGAUCAAAAACACCCAUGAACAAAGACAUGGACGUAGGAAUAAUAGAUCAAAAACAUCCAAAUCUGAAAAUUAAAAAUUAACAGUAAAGCAUAAUUGACAAAUCGAAAUACACAUUAUCAAGUCAUCUAUUAAAACAAACCACUAGAAUCAAAUGCUCCAUAUAUUCGCCCAUAAAUUCGAACCUUGAUGCCCAUAAAUUCGAAUCAAAGGCUCUCGCUCUCGCUGCUGCCUAUAUUUUUCCUUUCCCCAGUUACGCAUAAUAUUUAGAUUUCAAUUCCAAUAUAAAAAGAAACGAAGCCACCGUAACUCAUCACCGUCCUAGACUGUCCGUCCAUCGUCUUCCUCAUCCUGCUGAAAAUUGAACUUUAAUCUUUCUUUACAGAAACAUAUAGAUAUAGAUUUAGAUUAGAGAAAAUAUUUCAGAGGGAGAGAUGAAGUUUCAAAUCGAAGAUGUUACUGUGUACUUCUCAUACGAU